UUUUCAAUCAGCAAUAACGAACAAGGGAUAAUAGUCACACCAUAACAUCUGGUUGUUAAUUAUGCCACAAAAAUUCUUAUUAUAUUAUGCUAUUUUUAUUUUUUUUAGAUAUAAACAAAAGUUAUUCACAGAUCCCCCAAUUGAAAAAGAACCAAAGCUAAAUUCACCCUAAUCACUCACACCCAAAAAAUCCCUCCCCUUUCGUAAAUCCCCAAUUGCAAGGAAAUGGAGGAAGCCGUUGUUCUAUCCUCGUUAGCAAGUUGCAUUCCAGAAAGUCAUGGCGCCUUCACUAGAAUGGAGAAGCAUGAAAGAUACAAUUAUUGGGUGUAGCUUGUUUUUCACUUGCUGCUAAAAUGGAGGAGAUUGAAGUGGUGGAUAGAUACAGGAAAAGUGCAUGUUCAUUUUGUUGUUCUUAUUAGUAGAUGCUUGAAGUUCAAAUUUGUGUAUUGGAGUUAGUAGUUGAUGAAAUAAUAUCACAAAAUUUGGAAGAUAUAUAUUUUUGGCAUUGGGAUACUUUAGUUCUUUUGUAAUUAACUAUAAAAUUAUAUAUAAAAACUGUUUAUUUUACAUA